GAGAAGAGGAACCAGGGGGUUGAUGACACCUGCAGAGAAAGCUGCAGAAAGCAGGGGAUCUCCCGCAAGCUAGAAGCAGAGUAAGCACAGCUGAAGAGAACUUCAAGAGCUUGUAAGAAAAGGCUGCGGUAUAGAGGAAGUUAAGAAGUGUUAGGCUCCAGUUCUCUUCCACUUCUUUGAACAACCAGAAGAAGAAUUUUUGAAGAAAAGCUAUCUUUUAACCCAAUGGAGAAAGAGCUUUCCUCGUUUUAAAAAUCUUGAAAUCACAUAUCUCUUGUGCAGAAGAAGUGAGUGAGGACCAUGAAUUUCAGGCAAAUCUGAGCUUGGGCAUCCUUUAAUAGAAAAAAAAAAAAGUGACAUUUCCUGUCGUGUAGCAAAUACA
rnacentral:lncRNA from 1 species